CAAGCAGUUCCAUCUAAAGAGUGAAACUUCAAAUUGGAUAAAGAGAAUGACAAAAAAACAACAACAACACAUACUGGCACACAAUAUCACCUGUACGCAUCACCUGUACAAGAAAUCUGUACACAAUCAAAUCUUUCAGAAGAUGCUGUCGCCACAAGUUUUUUUAGGGAAAGUACACACAUUUCUGAAAGGAACUGCAGUUUUUUCAUUGUCUUUUCCUUUGAGUCUUUUGUUAAUUGGAUUGGAGAAGCUGACUGAAAUAGAACUUUUUUCAUGCCCAUGCGUAGUUGAGCUAAAUGCAUUACUAACCACAUCUAUCUUCAUUGGUCCAGCUCUUUUUACAUUUACUUUAAUGUUCAUCCUUUUAAGACCUUGUAAACAUGGGUGCAGUCGUUGUUGUGCAGGAGUAUAUGAUGAUACUCAGCAGAACUGCCCUAAAGCCUUUGCAUCUUGUCUGAUUCCACCUGUGAUAUGGAUCUUCCUCUUGUUCCUUGAUGGUGAAUACUUUGCUUGUGGCAUGACAGACUGGAAGGGAGUUUAUGUGUACGAUCAGGAGCUCAACAGGCCUUGGUGUAAACCUACUGAAAAAACACGAAACGAGACUGUGCUACGUGAUUUGAAUCGCAAAUACAUUCAUGAAUCUCAGCAUGCAGGUUAUGUCUGGAUCACUGUCUUCAGUGUCUUGGUGAUUGCCGUAGUGGGUAUUUAUGACUGCUGCAUUAGUGGAAAAUGUAAAUGGUGCCCACGUGAACUGUCGUGCUGCUGCGGACAAAUGAUGGAGACACAGAGUGAGCAACAAGAUUCUGGAGCAGGUUCUC